CCUACGUGAGGCAGCAGUGGGGAAUAUUGCACAAUGGGCGAAAGCCUGAUGCAGCAACGCCGCGUGAGCGAUGAAGGCCUUCGGGUCGUAAAGCUCUGUCCUCAAGGAAGAUAAUGACGGUACUUGAGGAGGAAGCCCCGGCUAACUACGUGCCAGCAGCCGCGGUAAUACGUAGGGGGCUAGCGUUAUCCGGAAUUACUGGGCGUAAAGGGUGCGUAGGUGGUUUCUUAAGUCGGGUGUGAAAACUCCGGGCUCAACCUGGAGACUGCACUUGAAACUGGGUGUCUUGAGGGCAGGAGAGGAAAGUGGAAUUCCUAGUGUAGCGGUGAAAUGCGUAGAUAUUAGGAGGAACACCAGUGGCGAAGGCGACUUUCUGGACUGUACCUGACGCUGAGGCGCGAAAGCGUGGGUAGCGAACGGGAUUAGAUACCCUGGUAGUC
rnacentral:rRNA from 1 species